GCAUGAAGUUGGAAUUGCUAGUAAUCGCGGAUCAGCAUGCCGCGGUGAAUACGUUCCCUGGCCUUGUACACACCGCCCGUCACACCAUGGGAGCCGGUAAUACCCGAAGUCAGUAGCCUAACCGCAAGGGGGGCGCUGCCGAAGGUAGGAUUGGCGACUGGGGUGAAGUCGUAACAAGGUACC
rnacentral:rRNA from 1 species